rnacentral:rRNA from 1 species
AAUGAACGCUAGCGGGAUGCUUUACACAUGCAAGUCGAACGAGUGGCGGACGGGUGAGUAAUAUAUCGGAACGUGCCCAGUAGCGGGGGAUAACUACUCGAAAGAGUGGCUAAUACCGCAUACCAUUGGAGCGGCCGAUAUCGGAGUGGCUAGUUGGUGGGGUGAAGGCUCACGAAGGCAACGAUGCGGAGGUGGUUUGAGAGGACGACCGGCUGCACUGGUACAGAGACACGGCCCAGCGUCCUACGGGAGUCAGCAGGGGGGAAUUUUGGGCUAUGGGGGAAUCCCUGAUCCAGCCAUCCCGCGUGUCUGAUGGGGCCUUCGGGUUUUAAGGUUCUUUUGGCCGUUAAGCGGUGUCUGCAAAAUAGGCCCCGGCUAACUACGUGCCAGCGGCCGCGGUAAUAC